rnacentral:rRNA from 1 species
CUUUUAACAACGGAUAUCUUGGUUCUCGCAACGAUGAAGAGCGCAGCGAAAUGCGAUACGUAAUGUGAAUUGCAGGAUUCAGUGAAUCAUCAAAAUCUUGAACGCACAUGGCGCCCUCGGGUCUCCGGAUUCUGGGGCAUAUCUGUUUGAGUGUCAC